rnacentral:lncRNA from 1 species
AACAUGUUUAAUGAAUUAUUAAAUCCCUCUUUAUAUAGUAGAUGAGUCCUACUUUAGGUACAAUUCUAUAAAAGGUAAAAAAUCUCUUGAUUAGCUGAUUGACGGUUCCUUACUGAUAAGCGCCGAGAUUCUCGCCGUAAUACCUGACCAGUCACGAAUAUUUAGGUCUUCUGCUGGUUAUGCUAACAAUUUUUCUUUGAGCUUGAUCGGGGCUAAGUUCGACUCGGGGAUUACAAGCUCAAUGUUCUCGAAGACUAGCAUUCUAACCCCGAGUUCUAGCUCAGUGGGACUCGGGGUCGAUCUUCAGUCUUUGGUUGUCAUGUUCCGAGCCUAACUUGCCAUGUCGUAGGUGAACUCGAUUCCGACCAUAUACAAUGCUCGAUGCCAUCUUUCAAGUUUGACACUCAGAAUCAUCUUGUUACAACUACCAUAGCUAUACAAAAUUUCAUCCGACGACAUUCUUCUACCGAUACGGAAUUCAACUAUUAUGCUAAUGAAGCAUUACUGCAGAGAUUGAGGAAUGAGAUGAGCCUUCUGCUUUCCUUUAGAAAUUCAAGGCAAGUCUUCUACUAAUAUGAAGGUGUUGUGUUAUAGAAUUAGAGAUGAAAUUGUUGAGAAAUAUUAUCAUGUGUGUGCGACUUUGCUUAUUAUUUCAUAGUGGAUUAUCAAUAUAUAGUAAUUUGUGGAAUAAACUUCUAAUUCAUACUGAAUGAUGUAUUUUGAUUAUUCAAAUCAUCAUAUAAACAAUAAGUAAUUAUACUAGAUAAUAUUAUAUGCUUUGGUGCAACUAUAUAUGUUAUAUUAAUUUAAAUCUUUAAUAUGUAUGUUUACUUUAUAUUUUAUAUUUUAAUUAAAUAAAAUAAAAAAUAAUAAAAGUUUACGAUAAAUAUUUAAGUUCAUUUUUCUCUUUAAAAUAAUUACAAGACUUCGGUACUAUCCUUUUUGGUAAUUUGACACUCAAAAGUACUUUUUAGAAAGGCCGGUCAAAUACAAUUUGUUUACCAAAUGUUGCAAAAAGUAUUUCUUAAAUGAAUUGGCCAAACACAAAGUGUUUUUUCCCAAAAGUACUUUUGGAUAAAGCACUUCUGGAAAAAAUUACUUUUCAAAAUAAACAGUGUUUGGCAGCUUGGCCAAACGGGCCCUAAACUCCAUAUAUCCAGUAGAAUGAUACCAUAAUAGGUCAAGAAUUCUAAUUCAACAAACUUGGUAGGAGGAUCAUCCAACAACACAGCCAUAAAGACUAGACUUUUAUAGCAUGUUUGCUCAAGCUUUUAAAAGGCCAAAAGUCUUUUGUCCCAAAAAAUAUUUUUUUAGAAAUCGAGGUGUUUGGUCAAAACGGAGAAGUGCUUUUGAGUAGCCUACUCAUCUCCCCUUAAUUUAGAUAAGUACUUAAUAUUUUUUCUACCUUCUCCUACUCUUCUUUCUAAUAGUUUUUCUAUUAUAAAUAUAUUUUUUUCUGUCUUUUUUCUUUUCAUCCUCUCUUAUUGCAACUCUCAUUCCUUUUUUGAAAUAACUAAGCUAAUCACCAUAUUUAAGUAUUUUUUUCAUGAGGUAUGAUUCGUUAUGCUUUUUUUGUAAUAUACCAUAUGCGAAAUAUUAUUAUUUUGGUAUAACCAUAUUUUAUAUUGAUUAAAAUCUUUAAUUUGUAUUAUUAGUUUAUGUUUUAUAUUUUAAUUAAAUCGAAAUAAAAGGAGAAAAUGACUCUCUAUAGCCUCUCAAAAUUUUAAUAGCCCAUAUUUUUUCGUUGACACGAAACGUCCCUUCGGUCCAAAUAUAUUACAUAUAAUAGCCCGAAAUAUCUAUUUUGUAUAUUUUUGUAUAGUGACAGUCUAUUUUGUAUAUAUUUUGUAUAGUGACAGUCUAUUUAGUAUAUUUUUUGUAUAGUGAUAGUCUAUUGUAUAUAAAUUGUACAGUGACAGUCUAUUUUAUAUAUAUUUUGUAUAGUGACAGUCUAUUUUAUAUAUAUUUUGUAUAGUGACAUUCUAUUAUAUAUGAACUGUAUAGUGACAAUCUAUUUAGUAUAUUUUUUGUAUAGUGAUAGUCUAUUUUGUAUAUAUUUUGUAUAGUGACAGUCUAUUGUAUAUAAUUUAUAUAGUGACAGUCUAUUUAGUACAUAUUUUGUAUAGUAACAAUAUAUUUUGUAUAUAUUUCAACGUUAUGCAUAGUUAUGUGAGAAAAAACAAUCAUAAAAAUUCCUGUUAUUUCCCGUGACUUCAAACUCCCAACUCAAAACCCUAUAACUCCAUUGAAACACAACACUAAAAGCUUCUUACUUUCCCAUUUCUUCCUGUUAUUUAUCAAUGCACCGUUAAUUCGCUAAAAGAUAAAGAAAAAAGAAAAGAAAAAGAUGAUGAGGUCACCUUAGGUACGAAACGACAUCGUUGAUACACCGUCGCCGUCACACUUUCUCUCCACACUGUCCGUACACAAGCUCCGGAGUUUCAACAUUUUGAAUUAUCGUCUUCCGAUUUGCUUCCUUCUGCUUCUCUCUUGUUUACUAAUUCUCGUCCCGGCGGCUCCGAUUUUCC